AUUGAACGCUGGCGGCAGGCUUAACACAUGCAAGUCGAGCGGUAACAGAGAGAAGCUUGCUUCUCUGCUGACGAGCGGCGGACGGGUGAGUAAUGCCUAGGAAUCUGCCUAGUAGUGGGGGAUAACUUGCCGAAAGGUAAGCUGAUACCGCAUACGUCCUACGGGAGAAAGGAGGGGACCUUCGGGCCUUUCGCUAUUAGAUGAGCCUAGGUCGGAUUAGUUAGUUGGUGAGGUAAUGGCUCACCAAGACCGCGAUCCGUAACUGGUCUGAGAUGAUGAGCAGUCACACUAGAACUGAGACACGGUCCCGCCUCCUACGGGAGGCAGCAGUGGGGAAUAUUGGACAGUGGGGGGAACCCUGAUCCAGCCAUGCCGCGUGUGUGAAGAAGGUCUUAGGAUUGUAAAGCACUUUAAGUUGAGAGGAAGAGCAGUUAACUAAUAUUUGACUGUUUUGACGUUACCGACAGAAUAAGCACCGGCUAACUUCGUGCCAGCAGCCGCGGUAA
rnacentral:rRNA from 1 species